AAGAAGAAACUUGUACAAAUGAUUCAAAUUUGUGUAAUAAUUGUCACACUCACAUGAUUUAUUGCCACCUGGCCAACGUGCUGGGGAUUGGCAUUUGUAAAUGACUGGAUGGAAUAAAGAACAGUCUAACAAAAAUUUACAGUUUUUUUUUUUCAAUUCAUUGAUAUAAUUGCUGUAAUUGAAACAUACUGAACACAAGAAUCUGAAUAAGUAAUGUAGUUUUGUUUUUAACCUGAAUUAAUU
rnacentral:misc_RNA from 1 species